GCCAGACUCCUACGGGAGGCAGCAGUGGGGGAUAUUGCACAAUGGGGGAAACCCUGAUGCAGCGACGCCGCGUGGGUGAAGAAGCGCCUCGACGCGUAAAGCCCUUUCAGCAGGGAAGAAAAUGACGGUACCUGAUUAAGAAGCCCCGGCUAACUACGUGCCAGCAGCCGCGGUAAUACGUAGGGGGCAAGCGUUAUCCGGAUUUACUGGGUGUAAAGGGAGCGCAGACGGCAGUGCAAGUCUGGAGUGAAAGCCCGGGGCCCAACCCCGGAACUGCUCUGGAAACUGUGCGGCUAGAGUACUGGAGGGGCAGGCGGAAUUCCUAGUGUAGCGGUGAAAUGCGUAGAUAUUAGGAGGAACACCAGUGGCGAAGGCGGCCUGCUGGACAGUAACUGACGUUGAGGCUCGAAAGCGUGGGGAGCAAACAGGAUUAGAUACCCUCGUA
rnacentral:rRNA from 1 species